GGAAAAGAUAUUUGCAAAUGACAUAUCGGACAAAGGGCUAGUAUCCAAAAUCUAUAAAGAGCUCACCAAACUCCACACCCAAAAAACAAAUAACCCAAAUAAAAAAUGGGCAAAAGACAUGAAUAGAUACUUCUCCAAAGAAAACAUCCA